GACGAACGCUGGCGGCGCGCCUAAUACAUGCAAGUAGAACGCACAGUUUAUACCGUAGCUUGCUACACCAUAGACUGUGAGUUGCGAACGGGUGAGUAACGCGUAGGUAACCUGCCUGGUAGCGGGGGAUAACUAUUGGAAACGAUAGCUAAUACCGCAUAAUAUUGAUUAUUGCAUGAUAAUUGAUUGAAAGAUGCUAUUGCAUCACUACCAGAUGGACCUGCGUUGUAUUAGCUAGUAGGUGAGGUAACGGCUCCCCUAGGCGACGAUACAUAGCCGACCUGAGAGGGGGAGCGGCCACACUGGGACUGAGACACGGCCCAGACUCCUACGGGAGGGAGCAGGAGGGAAUCUUUGGCGAUGGACGAAAGUCUGACCGAGCAACGCCGCGGGAGUGAAGAAGGUUGUCGGGUCGUAAAGCUCUGUUGUAAGAGAAGAAAGGGUGUGAGAGUGGAAAGUUCACACUGUGACGGUAUCUUAACAGAAAGGGACGGCUAACUACGUG
rnacentral:rRNA from 1 species